rnacentral:pre_miRNA from 1 species
UUUCUACUCCCUCCGUUCCAUAAUUCUUGUCAAAAUAUUACAUGUAUCUAGACGCUUUUUAGAAACAGAUACAUCCAUUUUUAGACAAAUUUGAAACAAGAAUUAUGAAACGUGGGGAGUAGUUA